rnacentral:rRNA from 1 species
UGCCCGUCAGAUGAACGCUGGCGGCAGGCCUAACACAUGCAAGUCGAGCGGUAGAGAGAAGCUUGCUUCUCUUGAGAGCGGCGGACGGGUGAGUAAUGCCUAGGAAUCUGCCUGGUAGUGGGGGAUAACGUUCGGAAACGGACGCUAAUACCGCAUACGUCCUACGGGAGAAAGCAGGGGACCUUCGGGCCUUGCGCUAUCAGAUGAGCCUAGGUCGGAUUAGCUAGUUGGUGAGGUAAUGGCUCACCAAGGCGACGAUCCGUAACUGGUCUGAGAGGAUGAUCAGUCACACUGGAACUGAGACACGGUCCAGACUCCUACGGGAGGCAGCAGUGGGGAAUAUUGGACAAUGGGCGAAAGCCUGAUCCAGCCAUGCCGCGUGUGUGAAGAAGGUCUUCGGAUUGUAAAGCACUUUAAGUUGGGAGGAAGGGUUGUAGAUUAAUACUCUGCAAUUUUGACGUUACCGACAGAAUAAGCACCGGCUAACUCUGUGCCAGCAGCCGCGGUAAUACAGAGGGUGCAAGCGUUAAUCGGAAUUACUGGGCGUAAAGCGCGCGUAGGUGGUUUGUUAAGUUGGAUGUGAAAUCCCCGGGCUCAACCUGGGAACUGCAUUCAAAACUGACUGACUAGAGUAUGGUAGAGGGUGGUGGAAUUUCCUGUGUAGCGGUGAAAUGCGUAGAUAUAGGAAGGAACACCAGUGGCGAAGGCGACCACCUGGACUAAUACUGACACUGAGGUGCGAAAGCGUGGGGAGCAAACAGGAUUAGAUACCCUGGUAGUCCACGCCGUAAACGAUGUCAACUAGCCG